rnacentral:rRNA from 1 species
CGGGGAAUCUUGCACAAUGGGGGCAACCCUGAUGCAGCGACGCCGCGUGAGCGAUGAAGCCCUUCGGGGCGUAAAGCUCUUUCGACCGGAACGAUAAUGACGGUACCGGGAGAAGAAGCUGCGGCUAACUACGUGCCAGCAGCCGCGGUAAUACGUAGGCAGCAAGCGUUGUUCGGAGUUACUGGGCGUAAAGAGUGCGUAGGCGGUUUUCUAAGUUCGGUGUGAAAUCUCCCGGCUUAACUGGGAGGGUGCGCCGAAGACUGGGAAGCUGGAGUGUGGGAAAGGCAGGCGGAAUUCCUGGUGUAGCGGUGAAAUGCGUAGAUAUCAGGAGGAACACCGGCGGUGUAGACGGCUUGCUAAACCAUAACUGACGCUGAGGCACGAAAGCGUGGGUAGCAAACA